GGGGGGAACAGCCUUACAAGGACAGAGCAGUCUAGGCUGUCCCAUAUGGAGUUUCAGAAGGGCUCAGUGCAGUGGUGUGUUAGCAGAAUGCACACUGAGGCAUGGGAAGCACCGAGAAGCCCACUGGCCUUUCCAUGCCACCUGCUCCUUGCUGGGAAACACCCUGCUUGGCAGCUGUAGGUGCCAGCAUAUCUGCUCUGCUCCUCCAGGAAAAGAACAAAUAAAGCAAAGGCUUAAUAAGACAGGUGUUUUUCGUAUUACUGGUGUCUCCUUUUCCCUUUCUUCUUCUUUUUCUUUUUAUUUUAAACAUAAAACCAAACCCAAAUGUCUGACUAACCUUGACUGGAACUAACCUGAUACUCUGCAAUGUGUAGAGUGGGCAAUAAACUAUGGUGCAUAUAGCUUCUCAACACUGCAUUUCCAUUUUAACUGCUCAGCUAUGAGUGUAUUUCACUCAUACUGUAACUCAAAUGAUUACAGAUUACUUUAAUGCAAUUUGCUCUUUUUUUACUUUCAUGGAUUUUAGAAAAUUAAUAGACAUGAGCAAGCUUGCCAGGAAGUUUGAGGGCAGAGACAAAUGAAGGUCUUGGAAGCCCAAAACACAAGCUACUUAGCUACUCAAACUAUGCCCUUCUGAGAAAGGAAAUAUAUAGUGUGAUAUAUUUGUUUGCUGUCACCGGCAGGAAGUCCUGCCAGGAUAGCCUCACCACUUUGGCUGGUGGUCAAGUCCUCUCUCCAUACACAAAGUCAAAGCAAAGCCAGGGACACUAGGGACACCCACUCACUGCCAUUGGCCUGAGAACACCUUCCUGAUGAAAACAUAGCACAGGUGAAUCAAAACUAAACAUUUGAGAGAAGACUUCACUGUUCAGGUUCCAAAGCCAAGGAUCUGAAGGCACCCCUCAAGCCACCCAUCAGUCUGUCCCACCACAGAGGCAAGGAGCCCAGCAGUGGUUGCGUGAGGAGGCUGCCUAUUUGGGAUGCCAAAGAGGCACAGUGGCUGGCAACUCCCAGCACCGAAACUUGGAGGAGCAUGUUCGAGAGCCCUGAUCAGACAAAAUGGCCUUUAUCAUCCCUAAGGUACACCUCGCCUCAGCUGAACACCAUCACCUGCCUCAGAGGACCGGCAUUCAACAUGUUUUGCCAGAAAUAGGAUGCCCAUGGCGUGGAGAACAGUGUGAUGCUUGCACACAGCUAUCUGCAACCUUGUAAUUCUCACCAUCCACAAAAUAGACUACAGACUUUAAAAGUUGAUUUUUUAUGCUGAUAUCAAAAAACAGAUGAUACUUUAUUAAGAUGUAGUUUGGAGGCACGUACAGAGAGACAAAGGUGCUAGCCAAAGGGCUAGUAUAUCCGAACAUGGGCAUUUUAUUGCUUAUCAUUUCUCCUAACCAUUCUCUCCCCCCUCCCUGAGCCUCCGCCCAUGAAAUUGAAAGAUUUCUAGUAGAAAUGCCUUUGUUGUAUCAGCUUUGGAAAUAUGGAUUACAGUAUUCUGUGAAAAACAUUUAUUACUCUGAACUGUGACUCGGACAUUGUUGCAUUUCUAGGGUUAUAGAUUUUCUUUCAGCUAAACUAAGGCUGUAAGUCACAGUGACAGUUGUAAUGUGUGUAAUACCACAGUACCAGAUUCUAUUACAUACAUAUUUUUGCUAGAGGUUUAUGAUGUUAAAAAUAUUUCUUCUUUUCCCAAUAUCUUUCUGUACCUGUUGUGUAAAUAUAUUGGAACCUAUAACACUGAAUUUUCAGAUGAAAGUGCAUGGGAACAAGUAGUUUGUCCUUUUCAAAUAAAAUAUAUAAAAAAAAAAAAGGAGGGGGGAAGGGAACACUGCAUACAAACUAAUUAUAUUCAAGCACAAUAUUGAAUUGUAAUAAAAGAUGAAUGAGAG
rnacentral:lncRNA from 1 species